AGGUGANCUGCGGAAGGAUCAUUUA
rnacentral:rRNA from 1 species